ensembl:rRNA 5S_rRNA 5S ribosomal RNA
GCCAGCAGCUAGCUCUCUGCAAUUCUCACAUGGUAGCCCACUAAAGCUAAGCAGGGCUGUGUCCAGUCAGUACCUGGAUGGGAGACCACAUGGGAAAGCUACUGUAGGUUGCUGCCA